rnacentral:lncRNA from 1 species
GGGGCGUCUGAGGAUUCGUGGCUGUGUCGUUAGUUGCUAGAUGUGUUUGAACCCCGUCUAUCACACUCACAGCUUGCUGUAAGCAUUUCCUCCAGAAGGUUCUUCUCCACUGCCGACUGGUUCCAAGCACACUUGGCAUCUGUGUGAUGCUAUUGCUGCUGAAUUCCUCUGCUUGUUUUGUCAGGCUGCUUCGAGGCUGCUGUAAAAUGUGUCCGACAUCCUUGCUUGAGAAAGCCCCAUGUUGAAACCACGCUUUCGUCUUCACUGAGGAUCUGGAGCAGCUCUCAGCUGUUCACGCUGAUGACACAGAGCGAGCAAAACGGAGCCCAGGGUCUUAUGGAAAGCAGGUGGGUUUUUCGUUUUUUUAACCUUCGUUAUUAGUUUCAAAGUCCUCCACACCUAAGACUUUGCCAGGACUGCUAAAAUGCAGAUGACAUGACUGACGUUUGACUUGAGAUUUCUCUCCUGUCCAUCAAGGGACAGCGGUGCCCAUGAGGGGUGGCGUGGAGGAGUGAGCAGAGCAGACCAGGAGACGAACUUGCUAAUCAGGCCUUAAGUAGUGCAGCUUGAUUGCGUUUGAAAACUGAUGUCAUGGCGCAGAAACAGGAAAGCUGACUUUUUAAGAAUGUUGAAUUGGAAAAUACAAAGAGAUGUUCUCUCUGGUAGUUCUUAAAUAGAUACUUAUUUUUAGUUUUAUUUUUU